GACUGAAAUGGUUAAUGAUUUAUGCAUUCUAGGAGAUUUUUGCAGGCUUUUGACUUGCAUGAUACCUCUGAUGAGCAGUUGGGCCCCUCCCUCCCUCCAGUGCUGAAGGUGUGAAGUCCUGAAAAGGCAAGAGCUGAGCUUGUAGGCUUUUGACUAUUGAUACAUCUGAUGAGCAAUCAGGCCCCUCCCUCCCUCCAGUGCUGAAGGUGUGAAGUCCUGAAAAGGCAAGAGCUGAGCUUGCAGGCUUUUGACUGUUGAUACAUCUGAUGAGCAAUCAGGUCCCUCCCGCUGCUAAUCUUGAAAGGCGGGAACUAGGCGAGACACAAAAGACACAGCACACAGACCUAGGAGAUGUUGGAGGCUCGAGGCACGGCCCGUGACACUAACCAUGGAUAUAACUCAUAACUUCUUGGAGUAUGGGGGCUUCCCUCCUUCACCCCCAGCAGAUCAAGGCCACCACUUCAAGUGACAGACAUGGAAGCAUCGCUGGACCCCGUGGGCGGAACCUGCCAGCAGACGAAAUCAAACUGCAUGAAACCAAUAGAGCUUCAAUUGCAGCAAGAGGCAGAAGAGAUAACUGCCCCCACAACUGCUUCUAUUAUCAGCUUACAAGUAUCCCAUGAGAAAACGAAAUAGCAACAGGACUGAAGACUUAUACUGUUCUUUGACAUGUAUUUAUGUUUUUAUCUUAAUAACUUUGUAAUAUGCAUGCCUGUA